ensembl:lncRNA
UGGUCAUAUUUAAUUGUAAUAUGAACCAAUGAUUUUCUGAUUGCUGAUUCUAAGAGAGUCUUUGUGGAAAUCCUGUUUGGCUUUUUGUCAUUUUAAUUCUCUUUUCUGUUUUCCAGAACAGUUCUCCACAGUCACUGUCCACAUGGGUCAGUGGGACCAAGAAGCACUCUGCUAAUGUGUGGACUCUGACCAGCAACAUCCAGCAAGACACUCACACUUGCAGAGGUUAAUACACACUACUGAUCCCUGAUGGGAGAAUCAUCACCUCUGCCAACAAAGAAGCCUGGUGGAUGUUUGUUUACAGACUGAUGAUGGGACAUCAUGCUCUGCAUCUUCAAAUCUUUUUGCAGGAUCAGAAAACAAAACCAGGAGACCUGUAAAUGUUUCUUCUCCAAUUGGAUGAUGAUAAGACUGUGACAUGGGAUGCCACCUUUAGUCUUGUGAUGAAGCAAAGCUCAGGAAGAAGUGUGAUUAAAUGGUACCCACAUGUGUGCUGCUGAGAAGGAUGUACAGGGGCACCUGCAGCCAAAUCCAAGCCUCCUCAGCAACUUCAAGUCUGUCAGCGUGCUGAGGUCACAGAAACAAGAAAAGCAGCUUCAGACUUCAGAGUGUUGUUUACAGUUUUCUGUCAUCAUGAUCUCCCCUGAAGUUUAUCACUAUUAUACAAGCAAUGGUGAUGGUGUGGAGAGACGGUGGUGUUUCCUCAGAAGAACUAGCAGAGUCACAAAGGGCACCUUGACUUGCUGACUGAUGUUCGUCUGCACUGCACAGAGGAAAUCAACUGACCGAGGUUUGUCCAGUGCAGUGUUAUGAAAUGUAUAUUUGUUUUAUGCUUACAGAUUUGUUUUUCUUGACAGAGGCUCUGCAGAGGUUAGACAAAGCAGAGAAAAUAUGUGCUUUACAUUUCACUGUGAUUUAUUGAGAUAUUUGUUGCCUGAUGUUCAGCAGGAAUGGAGAAAUGGAAUCAAAGGGAGAAGUUUUUGAUGUUUUUGUAAUGAUGUAAGUAACUCUCCAGUUUCUGAGUGAGGGAGAGAGGAGUCAUCAUCCAGGUAAAGUGACGUGGAUCAGUUGAUACACUUGUCUCCCCUUUAAAGGAGACACUCUUAGAGAGAGACGAUCCGAGUCAUCAUAAAAUAUGGGCAGGAUAUCACUAUUGGACUGUCUAACCUGCAGGAGCAGCACUGAAUGAUCACCACACAUGAGCAUGUUCCUGCAACAUUCAGCAGCUUUGCUUUUGUGUCAAAUGUCAAACAGCUGGAGAGGAGACUAAACCAGUGUACUGGGAUGUUUCAGCAACGCGUGCCAGAUGCUGUAACUUCAUGGUUUCAUCACCAGAGACAGCCCCGCCCACCUCAGGACCUCGCCAUUGAUCAUGAUGAUUAUAAUAAUGACAGCGAGCGGAACUAAAACUGUAAAAAUCCACGACCAGAAUGUUUAGAUGCUUUCUAAUUAUUAAUGAAUACUGAGAACCUCUUUCUGUGUUUUGUCUGUUUUGUUUUGUUUUGUUUUUUACCUCAUUUGUUACUAACAAAGUUCACCAAACUCACACAGUUUACAUUCUGUAUGUUUCCAUCUUUACCAGCCACACUCUACCUGCAAUCAAGCAAAUAAUCCUUAGAAAUCAUUGCUUUUCUCUUUUGUAAUUGAUGAUAAUUCAGUGAAUAUACUGCGCUGCUUCCUUUUAUUGCAUCACACAUUGCUUUAAGUUUUUCAGUGUCCAGUUAUUUUUUUACUGCUGUUUGAAUUCUCUGCAUGUUUGACCCUGUAGACUGUUUAAUGGACUGCUUGUCUUGUAACCGCUGCCUGUUGUUGACUAAAGAUUUGGAUUUCUGACUUUAACACAGC